ACAAAACAACAAAAACCGUGGGAGCUCAAUUCACUAUGCCAAAAGGAAAAAAUUAAGCAAAAAGCUGAGUCAUGCAAGAAACUGCCUUUCUCUAUGUCCCUAAGCAGAUAGCUACAGAUAAAAGGUUAAAUGUCCCCACAGGUAGCUGCUCUGUCCUCACCUUAUCUUACUGAAGUGCUGAUUUACACAGCAGGAGGCAAAUACAUAAUUGACUAUUCCCCUGCCUGUUCCUUUUUCUAUUUGUGCAAUGUGUGGAUUCAGUAAUGACCAUGUUCUCCCUCUUUCCCCUCCAGCCCGCUCCUCCCUUUUAAAUAUUGAAGCCCUCAAAAUCAUCUUUAGAUAAAGGCACAGACCUCCCUCCCAAGCAUGUCCUUAACCUUGGCAAAAUAAACUUCCAAAUUGAUUGAGAGCUGGUUUUGGUUUACAAGCUGGCAGCCAAAGGAAGUGACUCAGUGGAGGUGGCCCUGACCUUUGACAAAUCUAUCAGUGCUUGGUACCAGCUUGGGCUAUUUUUAUUGCUCAAACAGGACAAUUUGCUGAGGCCUGGGAGCACCCCACUCCAGAGAAUCCCUGAUGUCCCAAAAUUUGGUUGAGAUCUAAAGUUUAUUUUGCUGUACACCUCUUUGUCUGCAGUUUUACUUACUCCCAACAAAGAAGGUGCGUUUUCCUGCCUCCAUGACGAUGGAGGGGAGGCAACUCCUUUCUGGAAUUUCAUCUGGCUUCCAGCAGGGAAGGUAACAUGCACAUGGUCAAAAAAUGGAACAAUAUGAACAAGAUAGUAAGCAAAGUCUUACUGCAAUGCCCUUCCAGUUUGCCCCAGUACCAGCCCUGCCUCCUCCAGCUGAAGCUGAAAAAUGAAAACCUACGAUCUGAAGUCAAAAGUCAAAUGUGUGAAGAAUAAACCAUGAAAUUAGUUCUGUCCGCUCCACCAGCUUUCUGAAUCCAGGAAGGCAAAGUCCAUUUGCAUUUUGUAACUGCUGACAAAGGUGUCCAAAUAAGAAGUACCCCCACGAAGUUUCUAUAUAGUCCGAAUGUACACACUAGCAUCGCUGAUGAAGGAAACAAAUUCUGCAGAGCAGAGGGGACUUAUCCAAGAAUUCUUCAGUAAUCAAUCUGAGAAUAUGACUUUUGAGACAGCUCACUGGUGAGAUUUUAACUUCAAUUCAGUUUGACAAACAUAUUAUGCAACUACUACAAACCGGGCACUUUGGCCGAUACUAAGAAACCAAGAGGAUUCUUAUCACUGGAAACAAAAUAAUUAACUGAAAAUGUAAUUAAUCGUACUAAAAAGGGGUUUCCACCUUUAAAAUACAU
rnacentral:lncRNA from 10 species